GAUGAACGCUGGCGGCGUGCCUAAUACAUGCAAGUCGAGCGAACAGACGAGGAGCUUGCUCCUCUGACGUUAGCGGCGGACGGGUGAGUAACACGUGGAUAACCUACCUAUAAGACUGGGAUAACUUCGGGAAACCGGAGCUAAUACCGGAUAAUAUAUUGAACCGCAUGGUUCAAUAGUGAAAGACGGUUUUGCUGUCACUUAUAGAUGGAUCCGCGCCGCAUUAGCUAGUUGGUAAGGUAACGGCUUACCAAGGCGACGAUGCGUAGCCGACCUGAGAGGGUGAUCGGCCACACUGGAACUGAGACACGGUCCAGACUCCUAUGGGAGGCAGCAGUAGGGAAUCUUCCGCAAUGGGCGAAAGCCUGACGGAGCAACGCCGCGUGAGUGAUGAAGGUCUUCGGAUCGUAAAACUCUGUUAUUAGGGAAGAACAAAUGUGUAAGUAACUAUGCACGUCUUGACGGUACCUAAUCAGAAAGCCACGGCUAACUACGUG
rnacentral:rRNA from 1 species